rnacentral:misc_RNA from 1 species
AGCGCACCAAUCUGCGCGGCCGAACCCAGGUCAAUCUGUUCUUCGAGGCCUCCACCCGCACGCAGUCCUCGUUCGAGAUCGCGGGCAAGCGGCUCGGCGCGGACGUGAUGAACAUGUCGGUCUCAUCGUCCUCGAUCCGCAAGGGCGAGACGCUGAUGGACACGGCGGUGACCCUCAACGCCAUGCAUCCGGACAUUCUGGUGGUGCGCCAUCAUGCGUCCGGCGCAGUGGAACUGCUCGCCCAGAAAGUCGACGGCUCGGUGAUCAACGCCGGCGACGGCGCGCAUGAACAUC